rnacentral:lncRNA from 1 species
UCAGGCAGAAGCAGCUCUGGGUGAAACUGGGACACGGGGAAAUUUCUCUCUGACGUUUUCCCACCUCUUCCAUCUGGAUCCUUCUUCCUGUCCCCCCCACCAACCUCCUCCACUUCCAAUCCUGCAUUACUUCCAUGGGUGCGGGUUCCAGGAGAAAAGGGACGAUGAAUUAGAGGCACCAGCAAGGAAGGUCACUUGCAAGUUACCAAGACAAGAUCCUGAAGAGUGGCAUCUGACCCAGAGAGUUGGAGUACUGCUAACCAGACUCUCUCAGCACCCUGUGCCAGACCGGCAGCACGUCACACAAGUGACAGUGAAAGAAGUGACAUAGUCUCUGCUACUGCCCACAGUACGACUGGCCAGAGGUCGCUGUCCCUCACCUCACUGCCGCAGAAGCCCUUGCACAGCCCGUGGAGCCCCCUUUUCCUCUACCUCCCGCUUCCUUACAAACUCUUUCUAUAUUUCCAACUUGUCAUCAUUGUCUUCUCCUUUCCACCCGGAACAUUUCUUUUGAAAUAAAAGGGGAGAAAUAUCCCUUCA